rnacentral:tRNA from 1 species
GGAGGCGUGUCCGAGCGGUUUAUGGAUGUGGUUUUGAAAACCAUUGGAGACGUAAGUCUCUCGCAGGUUCGAAUCCUGCCGCCUCCG